AUUGAACGCUGGCGGCAUGCUUUACACAUGCAAGUCGAACGGCAGCGCGGGCUUCGGCCUGGCGGCGAGUGGCGAACGGGUGAGUAAUGCAUCGGAACGUGCCCAGCAGUGGGGGAUAGCCCGGCGAAAGCCGGAUUAAUACCGCAUACGACCUGAGGGUGAAAGCGGGGGACCGAAAGGCCUAGCGCUAUUGGAGCGGCCGAUGUCGGAUUAGCUAGUUGGUGGGGUAAAGGCUUACCAAGGCGACGAUCCGUAGCUGGUCUGAGAGGACGACCAGCCACACUGGAACUGAGACACGGCCCAGACUCCUACGGGAGGCAGCAGUGGGGAAUUUUGGACAAUGGGGGCAACCCUGAUCCAGCCAUGCCGCGUGCGGGAAGAAGGCCUUCGGGUUGUAAACCGCUUUUGUUCGGGAAGAAAUCCUCUGGGCUAAUACCCCGGGGGGAUGACGGUACCGGAAGAAUAAGCACCGGCUAACUACGUG
rnacentral:rRNA from 1 species